GAGACGGGCUCAGGCUCUGCCGCGGGCCGCUCCCGUCCGUGUGAGGCGGGCUGGCCCAGAGCCCCCCGCCUGCGCCCCCCGCCCCACUCACGAUGACGGCCGGCGGCUUCGGGUUGUUCAGCUGCAGCAGAUGUUUUGCUCUGUCCACAAAAGAAGUGAUACAGAUCUCACUCAGUUUGAAUAUCUGAAACCCACUGUGCCCACUGUGAAGUUCAACUGCUUCUAUCUGACAUGAUAGAGGGAGCUCAAGAUCAUGAGUGCUCUUAUCCUGAAAUGAGUCUCAGAGGCUGUGAGACACCUCCUAGAGGGGCUACCGUGUAUUCUGGGAUGGGUCUAAUUCAGCCUAACCACCUCUACUUUGAAAGGACUAAAAUUAGGGUUGGUAGCCUGGCAGCUGGUGCAUUUGGAGAGCCAACUUGUCAGAGACAGAGAACAAAAACAGAUGUUUAAGACACCCAUUGAAGACCUGCUGAUGCCUUAUGGAACGUGGCAAAAUGUUUAAGGUGAUUACAGCCCAUGUUUCUCACUGAUGAAUGUGGCGGAAAACUGUUGCAGUGAGAAUGCCAAGCCUGAAAUUUCAUUAACUUUGUAGAGGUUUUGCUGAAGAGUCAGCUGUGAAAUGGAAAUUAAGUCAGAUCUGAACCAAAAGUCUUAAAAAGAUCAAUCUGCUGGAGAAUGACAAAUGCAGUGAAGAGAAGGAAAAAUUCAUACUUGCAUGUCACUACACAAAUCAACUGAACUUGGAUUAUAAGAACAGAGCAAGAGAAAGGAGUUCUGGAGGGGGAGAAAGGGAAGGAGCUCCUCUUGAACAACCUUUCUUGCAUGAAGAUCAAGACUCACAAGGCUUCGUUCUGCUCUCAGUUUACACCCAUUUUAGACCAGUACGAAGACGAUGUCUGAGUACAGUUUCCCUAGAUUAACAAAACAAAGCCAGACCUCAUUGGUGCUUUUUUUUUAUUAUUUGUAUUAUGCCUAUUGGUCCAUAUUUGCUGUUACUAACACUGGACUUCAGGCAUGCAGAGCCGGAGGGCACAUUUUUUUAUCUGAUCAGGCUUCUGAGAGUAAUCACCUCUAAACUUCCUAAUUUGCUUGUCCCCUGAUAGUGUUACUAAGAAAGAAAGAUAUCUAAAUAUAGCCCUGCAGGGCAGAAGGUCUGCAAUCAUCAUCAGGCUGCUAAAGGGGCAAGCAAAACUGGCCUCUUUUCAAGAGGGGGCCAUCAAAACCUUGGACUUCCAGAGGGCAGACUUUGAACUGUUUAGUACUCUGGUAGGGAGGGUCCCUUGGGAUUCAGUCCUGAAGGGUAAAGAGGUCCAGGAAGGCAGGAUGCUCCUCAAGAAAGAAGUCUUAAGGAUGCAGGAACAGGCUGUCUCCCUGUGCCACAAGAUGAGCCGGUGGGGAAGAAGACCAGCAUGGAUGAACAGGGAGGUUUUCCUGAAGCUCCAGAAGAGAAUCUACCUUUUGUGGAAGAAGGGACAGGCAACUUGGGGAGAGUGCAUGCUCUUGGAAUGAAAAAAAAAACAUUGUCUGCAGAGACAAGACUGAGGCUGAAGGAUGAGGAGAAACAGUGACUCCUAGCCAAAUGGAUACAGCGAACCUGACAAAAAAAGGAUUGACAACUCAGCAUGAAGCAGGCCUCAGAUUUCCCACACAUCCAUGAGAGGGCAAAAAAAGCACUGAAACAAGAAUAGCUAUUCACCUGCUACAGGUGUUGGAAGAAAGAAGUAAGGAUUUUACUUUCCUUUUGAUCGCUGAACUGUGCUUUUUGUCUGUGACAGCUGCCAUCUAAUUAUUGGUCCAUCUCAACAGAAUUGAAAUGAUUUUGCAAGGGCAGAAAGAUGGGCAGCAGGACUGUGCACUCUAGGUCUCAUACUUGACACCUAGGUAACCAACAUCAUAUUCAAUCUCCAUUUGAAAAAACAAGUGAGUUCUGGUGCAACCUGGAGGGCCAGGCUCACUAAAUGUAGCAGUGCUUCCUGAGGCUUUUCUUGUUUCCUAAGGUCUGUAAUUUAAGACCCUGAGAAAUGUAAGCUCUUUCAUGAGAUUUAAGGAAUUCCUUUGUGAGGAUUUCCAUUACUGUCAGGCCCGCUGCACUUGUCUUUGAAGGGUUUGGCCAACAGGUAUCCACAGGCUGAGCUCCCAGAGAAUGCACGACUCAAGCAGGAGGGCUCAGAUGUCUCCAAUACUGAUUUGAGGAAGCAGAGUUUGUGAACAAGAGGGUCCACAUACCCAAAAUGGAUGUCACGUAAGAGGGAAGAAUGAUGAAUACUCUAUAUUUCCUUUUUGCAAGUCAAGAUGCUUUAAUCAAUUACAAGUUGGGUGCUCGGGACAGUGGGAGCUGAGUGGUUUUGUAGCUUUGAGUUUAUCCAACCUUAACCAUGUGCCAGUCUCCAACCCUGAAGGUCAGUUCAAGCAAAUGUCAUUCCUAUUGUUUGUGAAGUGCUACUGCUGCACGUAUUCAUAGAAUCAGAGGACAGCUUGGGAAAGAAGAAACCACGUGAGUCUCAAAUUCAUUCCCUCAUUCCCAGCAGGCCUAAUUCUAAAGUUAGAUAAGGUUGCUCAUGUUCAAAUGAGUCCUAAAAUCUCAAUUCUGAGCCACUCCCCUUGGCUGUGCUGAUGGGAUUUGUGUGUGUGUGUUAAGUCUAGUUGGAAUUUCCUUUGUUGCAACCUGUGUUCAUUUCCUCUCAUUCUUUCAAUCUCGACCUUUAUGGAGAGUCUGACUUUCUCAUAGCCUCUUCUGUAGUCUGAGAUAGCCAUUAGGUCCCCCACAACCUUCUCCAGGCCAAACAAAUUCAGGUCCCUCAGCCUUUCUUUCUACAUAUUUCAGAUACCUGAUCUUCUUGGAGGACUCAGCUCAGUAUAUCGAUAUCUCUCAUGACCAGGAAGACCAGAACUGGAAGCUGUCCCAGAUGCAGCCUCAUGAGCACUGGACAGAAGGGAACGAUCACUUCCCUAGGUUUGCUGUCUUGCCUCUGCAGUCCAGUUUGCAUUUAGUCUGUUUCUGCCAAGGCGUGCUUCUGGGUAUUGUCAACUACUUAUCUACCAGGAGCCUGAGGCCCUUUUCUACAAAGUUGCCUUCUAGGCAGAAAGGAUCCAGCCUGCACUUCAUGCAGUUUUUCCCAGCCUGCUUCUCCAGCUUAUUAAGGCAGCACUUCCCUUCACUGCAGCCACCACUUCUCUGAGUUUGAGAUCUGUGAACCCUUUAAGGUGUUCUCUGCCUCCAUUUCCACACUGUAGAUGAGUAUGUUAUAUGAUACUGGUCCCAGAAUUAACUCUCUGAGAAAUAUUACUUGCAGUUGGCUUCCUAGCAGACUCUGAAACAUUGACCACUACAUUUUGAGCCCACUUGUCCAGCCCACUUCUCCCACUUUGUAGUCCACCCAUCUAGUCCAUAACUCCCCACGUUGGCCAAUUUUCCAGUAAUCCAACAAGUGUUUUGCUUGGGGAGAAAUACAUACGCACCUAGACAACAGCCAUCCUGGAGUUUUCCUGUAUCACAUUUGGCCACAUCUUCUCUGCUGGCAACAGAUCAGCUGGAGUAAAGCUCUCUGGAAAGUGGUAGAAUGAGACACAGGGCCAGGACUUGCACAUGGCAGUAAAACUGUCAGGGAGUUAUGGCACGUGGCCAGAACUGCAAGCUGUGCUAUGCCAAUCACAGAUGGGAAGUGAAAAUUUGUGACAUUUUGUACUUCAACCCAAAAUCUGAACAGAUUUUCAUGAGACUACAUUAAAAAAAAAAAAAAAAAAGUUGUAUUUCUCACCCUGAUUUAAGUAUCCUGCCAAAUUUCAUAGUCUUGCUGCAACACUGCAGGUAUGGAAAGAAAAAAAAGGAAAGUCACAAAAUGAAGGGGGAGGAAUUUUUUUUAUUUUAUCUUAAGGAAUGUGUGGGGCUGCCAAGACUUAGGAGUGUGAACUCCUCUGUAAAAGCAGAGGAAUCAGAAUCCACAAUUUUUAACCCGGUUCUCCGGGGUUUUUCUACCAGUUAGCCAAAGCAAUCAGGUAGCUGUAGCUCAGAAAGGCUAGUAUUUGUGCUGAUAACUUCAAACACAAGUUCUUGAGGGGUGUGACAUGGUCAGAGAAGGAUCCAAGAGAAAAAAAUGAAGGAGAUGCCUCCUCUCCGUAAUCUAAAGCUCUCGUUACAGCUCUCUGAAUACCUCUUUCUGGAAUGGUUGGAAAAACAAGUCUGUGCUGUUAAAACUAUUCUUUUCCCAAGCCCUCUUUCAGAAAGCAAUGAUGCUAUUUCUGUAAGAACUUAAAAGGAAGUACAUGUCUGAGGCAGAGAGCAGGAACGGAAAAUUUCAGUGCAAACGGUGAGUUUUUGGCAGUUGGGAGCUGACAGGGUUUUGUAAUACACCGUAAGAGAGGGGUUGUCUUGUUGGCACCGACAGCCACAGUUUUAAGGAAUAAAAGUGUGCCUGUUGGAAUGUUUUUUUCUUUUGCAGGAUAUAUAGUGGAAAAGUAUCAGUUAGUUUUCAGACAGAGUCCAGUAUGUUCCACAAAAUGUCCGCCCCUACCUUCUCAGCCUUUCCCUUGUCCUAGCCCUAGCUAAGCUCUUCAGACACAAGUUUUUCUUCCUCCUGCUGUAUUCAGCCUUCCCAGCUACAGCCCUCUUCUUUCUGCCUUUAUUUUAACCAGGAUCAGUCUUACCAGCAGUGUGGAAAGGGAAACAAACGGCCUUAGCUUGAGUUUUCUUCGCUCUAAAAGGCUUGGAGAUGAUGGGAAGCUUUAGUGCAACCUUAUCAGUCUGUAAGGAAGGUAAGUUGAUGCUAAUUUCUGUCAUUAGGAAUGCUAGACUGCAACCACCAUGUUUCACAGCCUUUCCCAUCUCCCAUGAGGAAACAGCCCAAAGAUGUAAAUUUACCAGGAGAUAAUCCAUUGCUUUUCCCAAGGAUACAUAGAUGAUUGUCUUGAGUGCUUUGUUACAUUUCAAUACACAAACACUGAAAUUCGGCCUUUCUACAACAGAGCAGUAUUUUUAUUUGAAAGGUAAUCAAUAAUGAGAUGAUAAAAUUGAGCUGAUGGCUUAUCUCUAUGUCAUCGUAUCAGCUGAAGGGAAAGACACUGAGAUUGCCUGUGCGCUUCCUGCACCCUGGGUGGGUGUGUAGGUGCCACCUCCCAUCUUGGAGGGCAAAAGCCAUCAGCACGAGUUUCUUCACAAGGUGGGCAAGUUUACCCAUUUGAUUCACAGCUGGGGGUUGGGAGCCUGUCCUUUCUGUACUCCCAGGAUGCUUUUGCCAGUUGUGGAAGCAGUUGAGAGAAGGGAGGGCAUUUACCUUCAAUGCAGAAGAGUGUCAGGGACAAGAUGGGAAUUAAAGGAGUUACAUUGGAACUAGCCUCCUUACGCUGAAAUAGAGAGAAGGCAGUGACUCUGGGUGGCAUGGAGUGACCAGGAAUAUGUAGGACAGAAAUGGUAGAAUAUGGACUAUGAGUGGAAGGACAUAGUUAGAAGCAAAUGAGGUGGAGGGACCUUGGACUGCCUGAGGAGCUUGAGAAGGGAGACUGGAAGCAGGAGAGGGAUGUCUGAGGGAAUGCCAAAGAGGAGGGAGAGUGGGCCUCAGGGCUGAGGUAGGCAGGUGCUUUGGGGACUGAGUGAACAAAGCAAGCAGAGACACUGGCCAGAGGGAAAAGAGGACUGGAAAGGGAAACCAGCCAUGGGGAACAAGAAGGCAAGGCAGGAAUGAAGGAAUCUGACUGGGAACACGAGGCUGCGUCACGCUGUCAGUAGGAGCUUCCAGGGUCUGUUCCUGCACAGCAUCACUCCUCUGUCCCCAGGUAUCUGUGGGACACACUAGGUACAUGGGCAGCAUCCUCUCCUUGUGUUGGCCCAUUUUAAAGACUGCAGCUUCAUCUCUUUUGGUAAAGGUUCCAGCCCCACUGUUGUACUUGGUAGUUAUCCAUCUGAAACCACAGCGUAGGAUUUUAUUGUUGCUGUUGUUUUAAUGUUUUUUACUGUGUUCUGAAAAACUCGGAAAGGACAGGUGAGAACAUUGCCAAGUUGAAAUGCUUCAAACCAUCAGGAUGUAGAUCUUCUCACUGAACAGCACCUCAGAAGACAUCUGUGUAUGCUUUUUCUGUGAUCUGAUUGCAGUCUGAGACACCCUGUACCUGCAGUGACUGACUGCAGUGUGCCCUCUGCUGUCUUGCUGUCUGCACAGCCCAGAAUCUCAGAUCCAGAGAAGCUGAGCCUCUGUCCAGAAGCAAAAGCAACUCUGGCCCCCUAUAAGCUGCCUAAGAAAUGUGUUGCCAGAAGUGUCCUGCCAAGAGAGAGGCAACUGCUGAUGUAGAGCUGCUGUGGAAGGUGCUCUGCAGAUGGCUUUGUAAAGAUCUCUUGGAUAUUCACUCCACAACUCGAAAGGAUACUACAACCUCAACCCUAUUUUUUUCUACUGGGAGCAGUGAUUAAAAGACAUUGAAAUACAAAGAAACACCAAUUUUUGAGAAGAAAACAAUGUCAUGCAGGCGGUCAUGUGUAACUUACACCAAGGAAACACUCUUCUAUUAAUUAGUCUCUUACAUGGCCAGGUAUCAUCUUCCCUCUGAAGGGCAGAUAACAUUUUUAAAAUUAUUUUCCUUCCAUGGCUUUUAUCACCCAUUCAGUCUUAGCACUCUUUGAUGCAUCCCUCCAGAUCUGAGUUUUCCCAGUUUAUCUGCCUCCGUUCUGUCAUGUUUCUUCAAACAUCAAUGUUUCUUUGCCUUUUCCCUGUCCCCUUUUCUUUCUUCUUGGUUGCAAAAGCUGAUAUCUCUCCCUGGGUAUCCGGUAUCUCUACUUUAACAUGUGUGAGCUGACAACUAAUCCAUUGCUUCCUUAGCAGAGUGUCUCAUCUGUUCAGAACAGAUUUCACUCAGGCAGCGUGUCUUGGCAGCCACAGAAAAAUCACCAUGGCUGUAGGGAAAUUGCCUGAUCUUUGCUCUGACUGAACGAUGUAACUAAGUUGUUUUUAAUUUUGUUUACCAUUGCAGGAUAAUGUUUGCAAGAAAAGGAAGAAUAGAUAUGAGCCCCAAAGGGAAGAGUAAAUCAACUGGGUGAAACAGUACACCAUUAGUCUUUGCUAAAAUUGCCAGGUUUUCCUUCUUUUGCUGUAUCUGUGCUCAAAAAUAAAGGGAAGAGGCCUUUAAACAACCUUAUGCUGAUCAGAACAGGGGAGCAGGAGCAGGAGGUGUCUCUGUGCAGUCAAAUGCAUAUUUAUUCACAAUAAUGAAAGAAAUGAAAGUGGAGAAAUUUUGUAGGAAAGAAAGAAUGUGUUAUUUAUGUAUUUUCAGUCAGCGUUAGAGUUGUAGAGAGUUUAUGCUAAGUACUGAAUAUAAAAUAUUAUGAUGGCCGUAACUCCUAAUUUGGAGUCAUAGCCUAAAUUCGAGCUAAUUCUCAAUGUUCUGUAGACCAUAGUGCCAGAGUCUCAGGGAUUGAUUCAGGCCAGCUAAACUCAAGGUCUAUCCAGCUUCAGGAAGUUUCUCAGAGUGGCUGACAGCUCUAUUUCAGUUCACUAGUGUCUGGCUUAAAAGAACACAGUGUGCACCAGGGUCUGUACUGAGGUCAGAAAAUCCAUUCAAGGUGUCUCACUUUUGAUUAAAUUACUGCAUUUCUCUGUAAAUUUUCAGAAAAGUAUCUCUGAAUACCCCGAAGGAGUGAGUGUGCAAACAUGGCAACGCCGAGGAGGCUGCUGGGGCCCAUCCAGCCUAAUGAACCCUGCUGCAGCUGAGCUCAGUGGGAGGGGGAUCCAUGGAACAGAGCCUGAUGCUGUGCCAUUUGGUGGUUUCUGUUUGGAAGGGACUUGUUUGGGUCUGUGCAGUAAGUAGGUGGUCCAGCUCCUCUGAGAAGAGGAUGAUGCUUUGAGGGGGAGAAGAAGAAUGCAGAGAAAAAGCCCCACUCCAACCCACUUCAAUAGCUUUCCACAGCAGGGGUAAUUUGGCCUCCCAGAUAUUGGGGUCUCACUGAUUGUGAGGAGGUCUCAGGGAUGCAACACAAGGACCCUUUCUGCUGUAUGCCGCAGAGUACAUAAUCAGUCACAGUUGUCUACCAGCGGUCUUUAACUAGUUCUGCACAGUGCAAUUAUACCUCAUCAAAGCUAAUUUACCAAGCUGUUUAAAUGGCUGUAUGGCAUUUAGUGAGCCUCGUCUCACCACUAGCAUCUUUUUCAGCUGCUCCCCUGCUGAGGGUGCUUCAGUCUGGGUGGUCCCAGCAACACCCUGCAGCAUUUUUUAGUGUUGUCAGCAGUCUGGAAUAGGGUCCUUUCUUCAAAGCUCCUGGCUUUGUUUCCCAGCCUAAGUUACAGAAGUCUUGUGGAAAACGGUUUGGAGGACAAGAGGCAGGGCUGAUAAUGGGAAACGUCUGUGAAGGAUUGGAACGUUGGCUUGUAAUCCCUGGACAAAACUGCCUCAUUCAGAAAAGGGGGGGAAAAGCAUGCAGAACAAAGCUCUUGUUUCACUCUGUGAAACGAACACAUGAUGUUUUCUCUGGAAUGUCUCGCUGACAAACAGGCCCAGCUUUUCCAGGGACCACGGCUCAGAUGAGGCCCAUAAAUGGCUGAAAGGAAUGCAGAUUCACAGCUAAUGUUAAUUUGCCAUUUCCAGGGGCGACACAAACUCAGCCACACCUUUGACAGAUAUGGAUUUCAUGAGGAGUGGAAGAGUGUGAAGGGCUUCUUAAUACGCUAGCUUAAUACACUAGCCCCAGAGUUUCUCACCAGAUCUAGCAUACACCACGUACAGUUUUGCAUGGGGACACAGCUGAUAAAGCACAGCUCCAUCCUGCCUAGCGUACGUCACCUACCUGUUGAGACAAAUGACACUCCCUCCUCAGCUGGGACAUGCAACCAGGAGAGGUACUGACAGGAGCCAAAGCUGCUAAGCCUGUCUUGAGCAGGACCUUCUGAAUCUGUGCCCUUCACUGCAACCUGCCUGUCCCCCUUUCCAAGUCCUCUUACAGACCUUUUGGCGUUUCCUUUUGUUCAUCUAUCACAGCCUGUUGUGCUGCCAGAAAGGAAUCUGCCUUCCCCUCUGCCAUGUCAUCAAACAGUUCAGCAGUCUCUCUGCCGCAGUGCAGUGGCCCUGAAAAGGUAGCACAGCAUCUCUUUGUUGAGCUCUCCAUCCCAGUCUUCCAUUUUCUACUCCCCUGGGAUAAGUUGUCCAGCUUGCAAUAACAACAAAUUAUCCAUUUUGCCUUUUGUCACUAACGCUUCCAGUCCAAAAGCUUUUUCUCACGCAGAUUGAAAUCAAUGACCUUUUCUUUUGGAUUAGCUUUCUUUACAGCUUUGUGUACAGCUAUUUAUCCUGUUCUUGCACGUAAAAGGUCUGGCAUAAAUCCUGACCCACAGGGACAACCUGGCUGCAGCAAUUAAAGGCCAACAUGUUCGAAUGCAGAUAUCUGAAGUCAAGCAUUUUGUCUAUACUUAAAACGUAAUGCAAUAGCCUGACUUGCAGGAGCUCAACAACUACAUUUGCCACCUCUGUGGUACAACUGAGGGUGCUUAUCAUCUCCUGGGGAAUGAUAGCUCAGACUGGAAUGAUAGCAUCAUGCCUCUGUGUGGGGGAAAAUCAAAACCCUUUGGUUUCCACUGCUUAGCCCAAUGCUGGGAGGGGAAUGUAUGAUUUCAUAACAUUGCUAAGCGAUGACAAGAGCUGGUCUCUAGGGUGAGCUGUAUUUACUAACACAUUGCACAUUUUUCUUGCUUAACGGAACAGUUUCUCAUUUUAUAAGAGUCCUGAGGUAAUGCUUGUGUCCUAGAUCAGAUGCCCAGACUCACCUUGCCGACUCUCAAGCUUUUUCACGGAUGACCAAAACAGCCACCCCAAAUCUGUGUCCUGAAUACUUCAACUGUCUGUAGUUCAAUAAGAUUGUGUAGACCUCACCUCCCAGUCUCACAGAUGCCUAGUGACUCACAGAACUGCUGCUCCACACCCAGCCCCAACUGACCCAGGCACAACUCACACGACCCAGAUACAUCUCAGGCAGCGAAAUUCCUAAAUGCCUUCUUAGCAAUCAUCUCAGGGUCUGCUGAGGUAUGGGACAAAUAGCUAAAUGUGUUUGAGCACGUUCUGUGCUAGCAGGUUGCCCAUGCUUGAAGGAUGAGAAAUAGCUAGCACCGUUAAUCAGAGUGUGGGUGGGAGAACCUUGGGACAGUUGUGCUAUGGGCCAUAGGCCUGACCUGCAAGCAGUCCAGAAGACAUUUUUGUAUAAGCAUAGUGUAAGGGUUAGGAGUAGUUGGAUACAGGGAGUUUGAGAUGACAGUUCUGUAAUGGUGUUGAAAGCCAGGACAUGCUGAAGCUAUUUUUUGAAUGAGUUGGGGAUACCUUGAAGUUAGGAGAAGUCCCCAGACAGAGCUGCUGCACAGAGGUUCACCCCAGAGGUCCCUGAGCUCCCAUUUGUCACAACUGGAUUGCAUGGUGCUGAGGCACACAACUACCUCCGUACAAGGUCAUGCCAGAUCUCACUGGGCUCAUUAACCUUGCUUCCAUAUCCUCCCUGCCUGAGAAAGACUUGACCCUACCUACUCCAGUAUGUCUUGUAGAGAUCAUAUUAACACAGAUGUUCUGUUACCUCAGCUGUGGGGCAUCUGGCAGACCCUAAUUACCAGCACCCUUAUCUGAUAUCCCUGAGCAAUCUGUCCUCACCAGCAUACUGCUUUCUGAAACAGCAUCCUCCAAAGGCUCUUCCACAGUACCUCCUCUGCCCAGCAAUGAAACAACUCUUCAGCUUUAGUUGGAAGCAGAGCUGGAGGGGCUUUUAAAUACUGCAGGGAGGGGAGAAAGGCAUGGCUGCAAAAACAUGGGAAGGGGAGUAAUCAACACAUACCUGGAAAGGCCCUCAACACAAACCCUUGAAAGGGUUGACUUCCUGCUACAUUUAUGAGCACAAACACACUGCUGUUUCAGCUAAUGGAGAAAGUGCUCUUAAUAGUAUGAAGCAGGAUUUGGCAGUGGUAAACAACUGCUUGCUGCAUAGCAGUAGCUUGCUGGGGAUGGUGUGCCUGGGCUUGCUACAUGAUCAUAGUUCAAUGAUACAGGAAAGAUAAAGCUGCUGAAAUUUCAUGCUGUAAUAGAAAAGCCCUGGGUUUGACCAUAUCCUCUUCCAGAAGUGACCUUAGGAAUUUCUCUGUAAGCGUGUCUGCAAAAUGAGGAAGAUAAUGGGGAAGAAGUAGAAUGAAGUGAUGACUGUUUCCUCACUUAUGGAGAAUAAUGUUCUAUUUAACAGCGUGUGCUGUGAAAUACACACAACACUGGUAGGUACGGAGAUGAGUUGGGACUCCAAGUGUAUCUCCAUGGCAGUACGUAUCUGUAUGCUGGUUUGUGACAUAGCCCGCACGAUGGAUGACUUGUCUUACCUUGAUGCCGUUCUCAAGACCUAUCUUGCCAGCAACUGUCCAUUGCAUUAGAAAACCUUCCUUUGAGGAAACAUUCCUCACACGCAGCUAGGCAUUCUCUACCUUGUGUUGUUUCUGUCUUCCCAGGUGCAGGACUUAGUAUUUGUCCUUGUUACAUUUCUUAACUGACCAGGGUGACCUACCUGAUACUUCCUGGGGAGCUACUGCGGUCCUAUGAGGGUCACAGAUCACAGGUGAGAUGCCUGUGUCAGAAGGUCAGAAAGUCCUUUCCCCCUGUUCCAGUAGCUCUAGGCAUUUCUGCAGCUUUCUUCAGCAAUUGUAGAGUCAAAAGCAGGAGCAUUUCACUAAAUCGUGGCACAUCACGGUGAGGGUGGUGAGACACCGGAACAGGUUGCCCAGUGAGGCUGUGGAUGCCCCUACCCUGGAGGCAUUCGAGUCCAGGCUGGAUGGGGCUUUUGAGCAACCUGGUCUAGUGGGAGGUGUCCCUGCCUAUAGCAGGGGGUUGGAACUAGGUGAUCUUAAUAUGAUUCUAUGGUCCUUUCUUGCACUACAACUUGGAUCUGAGUGUAGUUCAAGUCUACAAGAUGCUAAGAAUGGCAAGUCAUCCUAGACCAAGCUGUGGCCUGGAGCAGUGGCAAACGCUAAGUAGCUGUGUUUACAUGGGCUGGACACAGGUAUGCUUCCAUGCUUUGGAUACUGGGUGUGGCUUACCUGGGUACUAAGGCCUGGGUGAAAAAUGUGAGAGAAUUAUGCCUCUUUUAGGUUAGAAAAACCUAAGAAUUUUUCCUUAAAUAAGGGAUACCAUGGGUAAAGUCUAAGGGCCAGGUUGUCAAUGGUAUUUAGGCAUUUUACUGCUCUAGAUAAUGAAAUAUCCAACAGCCCAUCAAAUGCAUUAGCCAUUAGCGAAUGCAUUUUACACAAGUCACCUGGUCAGCCAGUGCCAGACUUGUGUGCCCUUUGGUUGGCAGUGUCCCCAGUAACACCUACAAAAUGCAGACCAUCUGCUGAGGGAGAGAGGAAAAAACUACAGCACUGAGCUGCAUCAGGUCUGCAAAGAAGCAGAGCUUUAAGCAGUCAUGGUAAGUAGAAAUGCUGCAGCUGAGACAGGAGCAAAGAAUGGAGGAAUCACAGUGAGAAAGGCAAUUACAAGAGCAAAGAAGAGAAGGGAAAAAAAAAACCCAACAAAUAUAAGAGCUGUAUUUAACAAAUGCAGCCUGGAAGGUCACCAAAUUACAGGAAAGUGAAACAGACAUAAGAAAUAACUGCACUGUAAGAAAGGAUGUUUAAAUAAUGUGUGUCAUGUAUCCUCACAUCACAGUUAACCACAGUUACCUCUUUGUGUUAGUUUGGUUAGCAAAGUAACUCCCUGAGCUAGACUCUUGGAAUCAAAGAAGCCUUAAAUCGGAUGUAGUUCACCCACCUGGGUAUGUAUGCUGGAGGUUCAUCUUAUUGCAGUUUGAGAGUCAUACUCACUCUCGGUGCUGUGGUGAACCUGUGAUAAUGGGCUUCAUUGGCUGCCCCUUCCCAACGUUAAGGGUAGGAAGCUGCCUUCUUACUUACGUACCACUCAGUGACUUGAAUGGCCACCUAAAACACACUGCAGGCAUGGUGCUCAUUGACUUGAGCACAGCAGCACUGCAAGGACACUCAUCCCUUACAGUCUCUGCUAAUGGCUGUGUGUCUGGUACAGCAACGGAGAAAGGAGACUUGAGUGAUGUGGGUGGUGGGUAGCAGUGAAGUAAUGUGGAGAGGGUGAUAUCAUGGUAUGGGCGAGAGCUUCAGAAGUAAUUUACUGGCACAAGUUUAGCUUGGUUUCCUUAGGAAAUGAGGCUUAUACAGUCACAUUGGGUGUAUAUGUGUGCACAUGCUGUAAUGAGGGAGAGGCUGCAGCUUUUGAGUAAUCCUUAUUAGGCACCGGAGAGCCCAAAGGAGUGAUAUUUACAGUGCCCCAAGAACGCAGAAAGCUUUGGUUUAUUAAAUGACAAAGAAUGUAUCCACCCAUGCACACUAGUAUGAGUCCACGAUUCAUUUGCUCUACUGUCUCAAGCAACAGCUUGUUACCUUAUUUUGGUCGCACAGCCACUUGGGCAUACAUGUUUGUAUCCCAAAAUUUGCAAUCCCCUAUGUAAAACAAAACGUUUGGUACAGAAGUGGUGGUAACUGGGAACUAAGUGUCAGCAGGAAUGAAAUAUGAAUGUACGUAAUGGAAUAAUAUCUUUCCCGUGGAGCAGCGGUUCCCAUUUUUUUUUGUUUUGGUCCACCAGAGCACUGCAACCUACAAAAUUUCAGGCAAACACCAUUCAACCUUAUAGAAAAGCUUUUCACUGGAAGCAUUUUGUAGUACAACUUUAGUUGUACAGCCAGCAAUGAUGAAUCACCAUCUUCAGUAUGACCACAGUCCAAAGCCAGAACUGUGAAUGCAUUUGCUAAGCCCUUAUUCUAGUGCUUCUGGUUCAAACCCCUUGCUGAGGUCCAUCGUGAAAGAGCAGAGGUUCCAGAUAGAAUUCCUAUUGCUUAGCUAGUACACAUUGCUCCUUUGCAGUUUACAUUUUGAAAUGGUGAAAGCAAGUUUGGAACCAAAGCGAACAGUUUAUCAGAUACGUGGGUGACUCAGGAUGAGCCUGAUCUAAUGCUACCCGUGAGAGUGGUUGAAUUCAGAUGUACCUCUGCCUGCACUGGGUCCGGGGAAUCAACUGAUUCCAAAACAAAGAGGUACGUUGUGAAGGUGAAUUAAAAAAAAAGAAAAAAAAAAGAAAAACAGACAAGACACUGAGAACCACACUGCUCAGCAGCAGCAGUGGAAUAGCAACCAUCUCUCAGGCUGGAUUUACAGGCCAGUGCCGCCCUUAGACAGAAGCAGAACAUGCUGGGGAGGAUGCUUUGUGAAAGUGCAAUUAGUACUCCUAAAAUCAAAGCAGUGCAGGACAGCCAGGCUUGAAUGAGCACAGCGAGAGAGCGCAGAGCCAGCCCCAUCCAGGAUAACUUUCCCAGAGCUCGUCCCUUCCAGCAGGGCACUGGGAUUAUCUCUGGUCCUGGGAGCACAUACCAGCACCUCCUACCAGCGUCUCCUACUAGCAUCUUCCACAGCACCCACCCGCACUCAGAGCACAGCAGAAAGCAGGGCGAGGAGGCAGCCGGCAUAGGGGAAUGCUGGGCUACAGAGCAAGAUGGGAUUUCAAAACAAGCAGCGUCACUUUCGGUUACAACCAACCUCAAAACCCAGGGAACAGCCCUUGACAACUGGUGUCACUUGCUGUAACAGCGGAUAUUUCUGUGUUUUAGAAUCACAGAGUCAUUAAAGUUGGAAAAGGCCUCUAAGGU